CUCUUCUCUCCCUUCACCGUCAAAACACAGCAAAAAAUUUCUCCUCUCAUAAAUCCGGCCAAGUCUCGCCGCUCUGCGGCCGUCGUAUCUCUGAACUGUAGUCGUAACGCCAGUAGUACAACCACUCGCUGCCAUCUCACCGUUCAGCUCACACAACCGCCGCCCCUGUCCAAUCUCUAACCAGGCUGACCGCCGCCGUAGCCGCCCCAGCUUCUCUCACUGGUUGCGGGAAAUGCAAUUCCGGUAGAUUUAGCAAAUACUCCAGCUCUUAAUUGCAGUAUAAUUUGCCUGAAAUCGAUUGGGCAUGAUGAAUUUCUCAGUUAGGGUUCGCAGCUUGGGGCUUCCUGCCAAUGAUUUCUUCCUAUCCCGCUUUAAUUUUGUUAAAACUGCCUCGCAACUCAAAUUCGUCCACUCAUUUUCCGACUCCGAAGACCACAGCUCUCCACCGUCGCUCAGUGUAGCGAAACCAUCUCUCCCGCCGCUUCAACACUCCCCGGAGGCGGACUCUCUCUGCCAAAUCUUAAUCCGCCACCACAACCCCUUCCACCACAUGGAGUCCUCCAUCCAGCUCCACGGCAUUUCCUUAUCCCCGCAUUUAGUCCACCAAACCCUACUCCGCUUGAAUCAGCAUUCCAAAAUCGCACUCGCCUUCUUCAAAUUCACCCAAUCCUACUCCCCAUCCCCUUCUCAUCUUCUCGACACCGCAGCCUACAACCUUAUCAUCAACAUCUUGUGCAGAGUUCGCCAAUUUGAUGUCGCGUGGCAGCUGAUUAUGCAGAUGGAUAGUGAGAACAGCGCUUCAAAGCCGGAUUUCACGACCUUCUUCGUCUUGAUCAGGCGGCUUGUAUCUGCUGGCCUCACGAGAAGUGCGAUUCGUGCGUUUUACGAUAUGAGUAUUUUUAUUGGCGAUGAGGUUUUCGAUUCGCAGUUUAGUUUCUGUUUCUGUUAUCUGUUGGAUACGCUCUGUAAGUAUGGAUAUGUGAAGGUGGCGGUCGAGGUUUUCAAUAAGGAGAAGUAUAGAGUUGAAGCUGAUGCAAAAUUGUACACUGUUUUGAUAUACGGGUGGUGUAAGGUGGGGAGGAUCGAUAUGGCGGAGAGGUUUCUUGGGGAGAUGUUGGAGAGAGGGAUUGAGCCGAAUGUGGUUACUUACAACGUGUUGUUAAACGGGAUUUGCAGGCGUGCGAGCCUGCACCCGGAGGGGAGGUUUGAGAGGGUUAUCAGGGAGGCAGAGAGUGUUCUUGGCGAAAUGCGUGAGAAGGGGUUGGAGCCUGAUGUCACGAGUUACUCAAUUUUGUUACACGUGUAUAGCAGGGCACAUAAGCCGCAGCUGUGUUUGGAUAAGCUGGCGAUGAUGAAGGAGAAGGGGGUUUGCCCGAGUGUGGCUACUUAUACCUCUGUUGUGAAGUGUCUUUCGUCUUGUGGGAGGAUGGAGGAGGCCGAGGAGUUGUUGGAUGAGAUGCUACAGCAUGGGGUUACUCCCACGGCAGAGACAUACAAUUGCUUUUUUAAGGAGUAUAGAGGUAGGAAGGAUGUGGAUGGUGCAAUGAGGUUGUAUAGGAAGAUGAAGGAGGGGUCUUUGCAUUCUCUCAAUAUGCAUACGUAUAAUAUACUGCUGAGAAUGCUUAUGGUGUUGGAUAAAAUGGGACUACUGUGGGAGGUUUGGAAUGAUCUGUGCUCGAGUGGAAUCGGGCCUGACUUGGAUGCUUACACGAUUUUGGUUCAUGGAUUGUGCGAAAAGAGGAAAUGGAGACGAGCGUGUGAGUUAUUCGUGGAGAUGAUAGAGAAAGGAUUUCUUCCACAGAAGUUCACUUUUGAGACACUGUAUCGAGGGUUGAUUCAAGCUGAUAUGUUGAGAACUUGGAGGAUGUUGAAGAAGAAGCUUGAGGAAGAGUCAAUAUCAUUUGGGGAAGAGUUCAAAGAGUAUCACCUCAACCCUUACAAGAGGUGAAUUUUGUUGUUUGUGGACUUCAAUAGUCAAGCUCUCCUUCAUCUCACUAUGUCUUCAUCAAACAAGAUGAAGGCUAUGAACAAAGGAAGAAGCAUACUCUCACCUCUGACCAGAUCAAGUGGCAUGUGCUGUAGCCCUAUUGGAAGAGGCAAUCACUGCGUAAACGUUGAUACUGAGUUGAAGGUUUUUGAAUGAUUGAAAUUCUCCAGAUGCUUUCUUGGAAUACAUUUCACUUAUUCCCCCCUCAUACCCAUGAUGGAUUGUUUACACAUUCUUGAGGUACUUUGCAGACAAGUAAUCCAAUGCAUCGGACACAAUCACGAGAGAAAACGACUUUGUCCUGUACGGAAGUAAAAACCUUAUAUCAGCCACUCGGACGAUGCCACUUUGCACCAUUCUCUUGCACCUCCGAUCAG